rnacentral:lncRNA from 1 species
GGUUUUUUGAAAUUUUUGAAAAGUCCAUUGGAUUUGUUUGAGGGUUGCCAAUUCUAAAUAUGGGCUUGAAGUUUUGAAAAGGUGCAUAUAUUUGUAGUUAUUAAGUGUUUGACUAUUUUGACUUUUGAGUUGACUUUGCAUAUGAAUAGGAAUUUUGAAGUUUUGAUUUGAGCUACCCCCAUAUUUUAAGGGUCUAGGAAUCUAGUGAUGGUCUUGAAAUCCUAUACAUGUUU